CAACUACUCCCUCUGUCCCAAAUUUCUUGUCUUACAUUUGUCUAGAUACAGAUGUAUCUAAUACUAAAAUGUGACUUGAUACAUCUGUAUCUAGACAAAUCUAAAACAAGAAUUUUGGGAUGGAGGGAGUACUUU
rnacentral:pre_miRNA from 1 species